rnacentral:misc_RNA from 1 species
GAUGAAGAACGCAGCGAAAUGCGAUAAGUAAUGUGAAUUGCAGAUUUCAGUGAAUCAUCGAAUCUUUGAACGCACAUUGCGCCCCUUGGUAUUCCAUGGGGCAUGCCUGUUCGAGCGUCAUUUGUACCUUCAAGCUCUGCUUGGUGUUGGGUGUUUGUCUCGCCUCUGCGUGUAGACUCGCCUCAAAACAAUUGGCAGCCGGCGUAUUGAUUUCGGAGCGCAGUACAUCUCGCGCUUUGCACUCAUAACGACGACGUCCAAAAGUACAUUUUUACACUCUUGACCUCGGAUCAGGUAGGGAUACCCGCUGAACUUAAGCAUAUCAAUAAGCGGAGGA